GGACUACCCGGGUAUCUAAUCCUGUUUGCUACCCACGCUUUCGUGCAUCAGCGUCAGUUACGGUCCAGAAAGCCGUUUACACCACCGGUGUUCCUCCUGAUAUCUACGCAUUUCACCGCUACACCAGGAAUUCCACUUUCCUCUCCCGCACUCUAGCCUCUCAGUAUUCGGCGCACCCUCCCAGUUGAGCCGGGAGAUUUCACACCAAACUUAAAAAGCCGCCUACGCACCCUUUACGCCCAGUAACUCCGAACAACGCUUGCUGCCUACGUAUUACCGCGGCGGCUGGCAC
rnacentral:rRNA from 1 species